CAGCAGUCUGUGAACAAUCCUCAGGAAG
rnacentral:sRNA from 1 species